CCUACGGGUGGCAGCAGUGAGGAAUAUUGGUCAAUGGGCGGAAGCCUGAACCAGCCAAGUAGCGUGCAGGAUGACGGCCCUACGGGUUGUAAACUGCUUUUAUACGGGAAUAACGCGCCUUACGUGUACGGCUUUGCAUGUACCGUAUGAAUAAGGACCGGCUAAUUCCGUGCCAGCAGCCGCGGUAAUACGGAGGGUCCGGGCGUUAUCCGGAUUUAUUGGGUUUAAAGGGAGCGUAGACGGGAUGUCAAGCUAGCUGUGAAAUGUCGGGGCUCAACCCUGGAAUUGCAGUGGAUACUGGCAGUCUGGAGUCCGCAGAAGGCAGGCGGAAUUCGUCGUGUAGCGGUGAAAUGCUUAGAUAUGACGAAGAACCCCGAUUGCGAAGGCAGCUUGCUGCAGCGGAACUGACGUUGAUGCUCGAAAGCGCGGGUAUCGAACAGGAUUAGAUACCCGGGUAGUC
rnacentral:rRNA from 1 species